AGUCCGACCUAACACAUGGGACUUCCACAAUCAAGGGGACAACACAUAUCAAUACUCAUGCUUAUUCGAACGACCUUAAAAUUUUUGCCUUCUUUGGUUUGCUUGAAUCAUUGUGUAUGGAGUGAUCAUCAGAGGUU